rnacentral:rRNA from 1 species
AUACGGAGGGUGCAAGCGUUACUCGGAAUCACUGGGCGUAAAGCGCGCGCAGGCGGCUAUUUAAGUUGGAUGUGAAAGCCUACGGCUCAACCGUAGAACUGCAUCCAAAACUAUUUAGCUUGAGUGUGGGAGAGGAAGAUGGAAUUAGUUGUGUAGGGGUAAAAUCCGUAGAGAUAACUAGGAAUACCAAAAGCGAAGGCAAUCUUCUGGAACACUACUGACGCUGAGGCACGAAAGCGUGGGGAGCAAACGGGAUUAGAAACCCUAGUAGUCC